rnacentral:tRNA from 1 species
GCGGCUGUGAUGUAGCCUGGUAACAUACGGGCUUGCCAAGCCUGACCCCCGGGUUCAAAUCCCGGCAGCCGCA